rnacentral:rRNA from 1 species
GACGAACCGUGCGAACGUUGUUCGGAAUAACUGGGCUUAAAGGGCGCGUAGGCGGGCUGACAAGUCUGGGGUGAAAUGCCGCGGCUCAACCGUGGAACUGCCUCAGAUACUGUCGGGCUCGAGGGGGGUAGGGGCAUGCGGAACUGUAGGUGGAGCGGUGAAAUGCGUUGAUAUCUACAGGAACUCCGGUGGCGAAAGCGGCGUGCUGGACCCCUUCUGACGCUGAGGCGCGAAAGCCAGGGGAGCAAACGGG